rnacentral:rRNA from 1 species
CCUACGGGUGGCAGCAGUGAGGAAUAUUGCACAAUGGGCGAAACCCUGAUCCAGCGACGCCGCGUGAGUGAUGAAGUCCUUCUGUGUGUAAAACUUUAUCAGUAGGGGAGUAAAUCACGGUACCUGACUAAGAUGCCCCGGCUAAUUACGUUCCAGCAGCCGCGGUAAUACGUAGGGAGCAGGCGUUAUCCGGAUUUACUGGGUGUAAAGCGAGCGUAGACGGUAGAACAAGUCUGAAGUGAAAGCCUGCGGCUCAACUGCGAGAUUGCUUUGGAAACUGUUAAACUGGAGUGCUGUAGAGGUAAGCGGAAUUCGUAGUGUAGCGGUGAAAUGCGUAGAUAUUACGAGGAACCCCAGUGGCGAAGGCAGCUUACUGAACAGUAACUGACGUUGAGGCUCGAAAGCGUGGGGAGCAAACAGGAUUAGAUACCCCAGUAGUC